AGCAGCCGCGGUAAUUCCAGCUCCAAUAGCGUAUAUUAAAGUUGCUGCAGUUAAAAAGCUCGUAGUUGAAUUUCGGGAUCAAUAUGUCGGUCGUGCCUCGGUACGUACUGGCUUAUUGGUUUCUCCCUUCUGACGAACCAUGGUGUCAUUAAUUUGGUGUCAUGGGAAAUCAGGACUGUUACUUUGAAAAAAUUAGAGUGUUUAAAGCAGGCUCACGCUUGAAUACAUUAGCAUGGAAUAAUGAAAUAGGACGUUUGAUUCUAUUUUGUUGGUUUCUAGGAUCGACGUAAUGAUUAAUAGGGAUAGUUGGGGGCAUUAGUAUUCAAUUGUCAGAGGUGAAAUUCUUGGAUUUAUUGAAGACUAACUACUGCGAAAGCAUUUGCCAAGGAUGUUUUCAUUAAUCAAGAACGAAAGUUAGGGAUCGAAGACGAUCAGAUACCGUCGUAGUCU
rnacentral:rRNA from 1 species